rnacentral:rRNA from 1 species
CCUACGGGUGGCUGCAGUAGGGAAUUUUCGGCAAUGGGGGGAACCCUGACCGAGCAACGCCGCGUGAAGGAAGAAGGCUUUCGGGUUGUAAACUUCUUUUAAGGGGGAAGAGCAGAAGACGGUACCCCUUGAAUAAGCCACGGCUAACUACGUGCCAGCAGCCGCGGUAAUACGUAGGUGGCAAGCGUUGUCCGGAUUUACUGGGUGUAAAGGGCGUGCAGCCGGAGAGACAAGUCAGAUGUGAAAUCCACGGGCUCAACCCGUGAACUGCAUUUGAAACUGUUUCCCUUGAGUGUCGGAGAGGUAAUCGGAAUUCCUUGUGUAGCGGUGAAAGGCGUAGAUAUAAGGAAGAACACCAGUGGCGAAGGCGGAUUACUGGACGAUAACUGACGGUGAGGCGCGAAAGCGUGGGGAGCAAACAGGAUUAGAUACCCGGGUAGUC